rnacentral:rRNA from 1 species
GAUGAACGCUGGCGGCGUGCUUAACACAUGCAAGUCGAACGAUGAUCCGGUGCUUGCAUCGGGGAUUAGUGGCGAACGGGUGAGUAACACGUGAGUAACCUGCCCUUGACUCUGGGAUAAGCCUGGGAAACUGGGUCUAAUACCGGAUAUGACUCCUCAUCGCAUGGUGGGGGGUGGAAAGCUUUUGUGGUUUUGGAUGG